rnacentral:rRNA from 1 species
GACGAACGCUGGCGGCGUGCUUAACACAUGCAAGUCGAGCGGAAAGGCCCUUUCGGGGGUACUCGAGCGGCGAACGGGUGAGUAACACGUGAGUAAUCUGCCCUUCACUCUGGGAUGGCCACCGGAAACGGUGAUUAAUACCGGAUAUGACACGCGACCGCAUGGUCUGUGUGUGGAAACUUUUUGGGUGGGGGAUGUGCUCGCGGCCUAUCAGCUUGUUGGUGGGGUAAUGGCCUACCAAGGCUUCGACGGGUAGCCGGCCUGAGAGGGUGACCGGCCACACUGGGACUGAGACACGGCCCAGACUCCUACGGGAGGCAGCAGUGGGGAAUAUUGGACAAUGGGCGGAAGCCUGAUCCAGCAACGCCGCGUGAGGGAUGACGGCCUUCGGGUUGUAAACCUCUUUCAGCAGGGACGAAGCGAAAGUGACGGUACCUGCAGAAGAAGGACCGGCCAACUACGUGCCAGCCGCCGCAGUAAUAC